rnacentral:rRNA from 1 species
UUUAAUUAAAUACUAUUAAAACAUUUAAAAAUUUAGUAAUGGUGAUUGAAAAUUUGUAUAAUAUAUUUUAGUAAGUACUGCAAAGGAAGCAUUUAUAAUUAAGUAAAAGUAAAACUUUAGUUUGUACCUUUUGCAUCAUGGCCUAGCUAGAUUUAAACUUUAGUUAUAAGUUUCUUCGAAAUCUGAUGAGCUAUUUUCAUCUCUUAUAUUUAGUAAAAUUAAGAGUAGUUGUGGAAUAAACUUUCUGAAAGAUGAAAAUAGAAAUGAAAUUUUAUUCGUAUUAGAUGAUAGCUAGUUUUCCUGAAAGGUAUAAAAGUACUUCGAGUUAAGUUUUAGUCAUGAUUUAUAUUAUCAAGUAAUUUUUAACUCAGCAAAGUUAUUAAGGAUAAGCUUGUUAACAUAAGUUAAUAAUAGCACCUGAUUUAGUAUUAAAUCUAGGCUUGAAAAUAGCCACUAUAAGAGAUCUUGUUAUAAUUUCAUUUUAUAAGGAAAAUAUAAUAAAUCUGCUUUGUUAUUUAAUGGAAAGAACUACUAAGUAUGAUAUGCAAGUUAUACUAAUGCUAGGAUGAGUAUUAAUAAUAUAUACAUUUAUUAUAAAGUAAAUGCUAUAAACCUUUAAAUAGUGUUUUUAGGUUAAACUACUGUGAAGGAACUUGGCAAAAAAUAUUCUGCCUGUUUAUCAAAAACAUGGCUCCUUGACUAAAGAAAAUAGGGAGUCGGACCUGCCCGGUGAUAUAUUUUUAACGGCCGCGGUACUCUGACCGUGCAAAGGUAGCAUAAUCAUUUGCCUUAUAAUUGAAGGCUGGAAUGAAUGGUUUGACAAGAAUAAAACUGUCUCCUCAUAGCUUUAUAGAAUUUAAUUCUUAGGUGAAGAAGCCUAAAUGCAAUUGAAAGACAAGAAGACCCUAUCGAGCUUUAAAAAAAUUAAUAAAUAUAUAAAUAGUUUAUCAGAAUACUAGUUAUUAAGAAUUUUAGUUGGGGCGACAAAGGAACCAAAGAAGCUUCCUUUAUUAAGCAUUAAUAAAUUUCACAUAUUGAUCCAAAACUAUUUUGAUUAAAGGAAAUAGUUACCGUAGGGAUAACAGCAUAAUCUUUUCUGAGAGCUCCUAUCGAAGAAAAGGUUUGUGACCUCGAUGUUGGACCAGAAUAUCCUAAAGAUGCAGCAGUCUUUAAGGGUUGGUCUGUUCGACCAUUAAAAUUCUACGUGAUCUGAGUUCAGACCGGCGUGAGCCAGGUCAGUUUCUAUCUUCAAUUUAAUACUUAAGCUUAGUACGAAAGGACCAGCUUGUAGCAACUAUUAUUGCAAUUAAUGAAAAAAUAUAAUUAGAAAUUAAACCA